UGAGUGACAUGGACUGAGAAAUAUAAGAGAAGUAACAGUUUGAAAACUCAGGGUAAAAAAGAAAACUGAGUGUAGAAGAUCAUUUUUCAGGAUGACCACACAGACUAUGGCAUCAGACAGCCUGGGUCCAAACCCAGCUGCACCACAUGACCAUACCGAAUGUGAGCUUCGGUGUCCACAUCUGUGCCUACCUCAUUCAGCUUUCAGAAGAAUUGAAUAAAACUGGAAAUAUUCCCUGGCCUUUCCCACUCAUUGGCCUCAGCGCCCUCAUUGUGAGUGGGAAUCACACCUGCACCAAUUUCUACAUUGUCCAGAGCCAGUGGCCUGACCUCUGACUGAGUGACAUGUUACCUUCGUUUGUGCCUUUGAAGAGAUAUGCUAUCUGUAUAAAAAAGCCAAACAGAAAAGAGCUUUCUUGGCUGGUGGUGGAUGUGGGUGAAAGCUAGGUUGGCAUAUUGCUUCAAUUCCUGAGAGCAGCCUAGAUAAUUCUGAGGGACCUCCAGAUCUUAUCUAGUUCUGCUGCCCUAAGAAUUUGAGAUUUUGAAGGCAAAGGGCAGACUGAUGUGAUUUUAGAUGUAGAUGGAGUCUCAUUUGCAAACAAAUAUCAUGCGUGGAAUUCUACUAAAUUUGAGAGACUAGAAUCUAGUUGGUUACUGUUUCAAUUGAAGAAACAAGAUGUAAAAAAGUAAGAGGUUCAAGCCAGCAAUGACAGUGUGAGCCUCUCCUGGAAAUGGGAGUCUUUGUGAACAGAGACAAUACUUUGAAAGAGGACACAGGCUGUGAAUAGGGUCAGUUUAGAGCUCUGUAGGACCAGGUACUUGUUUGUAGGCACACCCUAUAUCAUGUCCAACAUAGAAAAUACACUCAUAUCCCACACUUAAUAUCACUGAUAUGCAUUAUAGAGGAGGUGACGUUGACAGGAUAACAAAGUUAUUUAGUAGAUAUUUAGUUGAAUGUCUAAUUUUGAUGGUGGAGUUUUCAUUCUGUAUUUUAAAGCAACUUCAUUCAUUCAGGUCUGCAAUAUUUUGUGAGUCCCUUGCAAAACUGGUUUAGGGCCAAGACAUUGCUUAUAGGGAGGGAUGGGUAGAGCAGACUUCACCAGAGUAAGAGGGUAAGGUGGAAGCGUAAAAGUGGACAAAGAGCAAGUACAUAUUGACAUUGUGUGUGGUAGGGCAUUUCCUGGCCUUCGCUGAAGAUCAGAGGUCAAGAGAAUACAUUGAGUUUUGUUUCAGGAGGAGGUGUGGAAAUGUCCAUACUGCCUCCUCUAGUGCUCUGACGAUUGGAACCUCUCUACACAGGAUUUCCAGCAGAAAUGCAGGCUUGAGUACUGCUCUAUUUUAGGUGAGUCUGCACUCCACUGCUCAGAAAAGGUCAGUUUUCCCCUAACCAUCUGGGGUGACCAGGCUGAUUCCCCCAGGAGUCUGGGAGUGCUAAUUUAGGCUGUUGAUUCUGCAAAUGCAAUGGCACAUUUUUCAAGAUUGAAAAAGUGGUAAUAAGAAAACUCUGUCAUGACCCACAGCUUCCUUAAUGAUGGCCUCACUGCCAAAUGCAGACCUGAUUUGCUUAGCACAGUACAAUAUCAAUCCAUGACUUCAAGAAAUGUCAGGCUGAACAUUUUUUUGCCUCGAGUUAAUGACUUGUCAUCCUAGAAAAAAAUGUCUAAUCAAAGAUGAAUUUAAAUAUGUUUCAUUUGUGUUUUUAUAAAGAAUAUGUGGGGGUGGCAUUAUUUUUACAGCAUAAUAAAAAGGCAACCUUUCUUUACAGCUCUCUGAAAUGUUUCAGGAGGUGGGAAUAAAGAUCUUUCUGUCUUGAACCCUGUCACUUUGAGUCCAAUGCAGUCCUAUGGCCAGGAGGCCAGAUUGUUCCUAUUGUCCCUGGAGGGCCCUGGGUUUCAAAGACCAGUCAAAUCCACUUCUUGAAGAAGAAAUAGGUUUUAGAGAAAAACUCAAUGGAAUUGAAGACCCCAAAAUGUGUGCAGUGAGCAACAUUUUUUUCCAGUAGGUAUUAGUAAAAUUUAAACUGAAUUAUUUGAGUUAAACCUUUUUUGUAUCCAUGUGAAUAAUUACUACCCAGUCAUUAUCUAGUCAGGAACAUCAAACAUUUGCUAUUCAAAGAAACUCAAUUUAAUAAGGGAAUAAUAUUUUCCAUUUAUGCUGGUUUUCUGUUUAAUGCAUGUUUGGGUCACAUGUUAGAUGAAGAAACAACAAAAAUUUGGCAUUUGAAUUUCAGUCACGUUGUACAUCCUGAGGGAAAACAAUUCAUG